UACGUAGGGUGCAAGCGUUAAUCGGAAUUACUGGGCGUAAAGCGUGCGCAGGCGGUUGGGUCAGUCGCUGGUGAAAGCCCCACGCUCAACGUGGGAAUGGCCAACGAGACGGCCCGACUGGAGGCAGGGAGAGGCCGGUGGAAUUCCGGGUGUAGUGGUGAAAUGCGUAGAGAUCCGGAGGAACACCAACGGCGAAAGCACUCUGCUGGGCCGACACUGACACUGAGAGACGAAAGCUAGGGGAGCGAAUGGG
rnacentral:rRNA from 1 species